rnacentral:rRNA from 1 species
GGGCCCGCACAAGCGGUGGAGUAUGUGGUUUAAUUCGAUGCAACGCGAAGAACCUUACCAGGGUUUGACAUCCUGCGAAUCUCCUGGAAACAGGGGAGUGCCUUCGGGAACGCAGUGACAGGUGGUGCAUGGCUGUCGUCAGCUCGUGUCGUGAGAUGUUGGUUAAGUCCCGCAACGAGCGCAACCCACGUCUUUAGUUGCCAGCAUUUAGUUGGGCACUCUAGAGAGACUGCCGGUGAUAAACCGGAGGAAGGUGUGGAUGACGUCAAGUCAUCAUGCCCCUUACAUCCUGGGCUACACACGUACUACAAUGCUACGGACAAAGGGCUGCAAGUUCGCGAGGAC